rnacentral:rRNA from 1 species
UACAGAGGUCUCAAGCGUUGUUCGGAUUCAUUGGGCGUAAAGGGUGUGUAGGUGGCGCCGUAAGUCGGGUGUGAAAUUUCGGAGGCUUAACUCCGAAACUGCAUUCGAUACUGCGGUGCUUGAGGACUGGAGAGGAGACUGGAAUUCAUGGUGUAGCAGUGAAAUGCGUAGAGAUCAUGAGGAAGACCAGUGGCGAAGGCGGGUCUCUGGACAGUUCCUGACACUGAGACACGAAGGCCAGGGGAGCAAACGGG